UACGGAGGGUGCAAGCGUUAUCCGGAUUUACUGGGUUUAAAGGGUGCGUAGGCGGGCCAUUAAGUCAGUGGUGAAAGCUCCGAGCUUAACUCGGAAACUGCCAUUGAUACUAUUGGUCUUGAAUUCGGUCGAGGUUGGCGGAAUGUGUCGUGUAGCGGUGGAAUGCGUAGAGAUCCGGAAGAACACCGGUGGCGAAGGCGGCCUGCUGGCAGUAGCUGACGCUGAGGCGCGACAGCGUGGGGAGCAAACAGG
rnacentral:rRNA from 1 species